UGGGGAAUAUUGGACAAUGGGCGCAAGCCUGAUCCAGCCAUGCCGCGUGGGUGAUGAAGGCCCUAGGGUUGUAAAGCCCUUUCGGCGGGGAAGAUAAUGACGGUACCCGCAGAAGAAGCCCCGGCUAACUUCGUGCCAGCAGCCGCGGUAAUACGAAGGGGGCUAGCGUUGCUCGGAAUCACUGGGCGUAAAGCGCACGUAGGCGGAUUGUUAAGUCAGGGGUGAAAUCCUGGAGCUCAACUCCAGAACUGCCUUUGAUACUGGCGAUCUCGAGUCCGGGAGAGGUGAGUGGAACUGCGAGUGUAGAGGUGAAAUUCGUAGAUAUUCGCAAGAACACCAGUGGCGAAGGCGGCUCACUGGCCCGGUACUGACGCUGAGGUGCGAAAGCGUGGGGAGCAAACA
rnacentral:rRNA from 1 species